rnacentral:rRNA from 1 species
GCCAUUUAUACGGUGAAACUGCGAAUGGCUCAUUAAAUCAGUUAUCGUUUAUUUGAUAGUACCUUACUACAUGGAUACCUGUGGUAAUUCUAGAGCUAAUACAUGCUAAAAACCUCGACUUCGGAAGGGGUGUAUUUAUUAGAUAAAAAACCAAUGCCCUUCGGGGCUCCUUGGUGAAUCAUAAUAACUUAACGAAUCGCAUGGCCUUGCGCCGGCGAUGGUUCAUUCAAAUUUCUGCCCUAUCAACUUUCGAUGGUAGGAUAGUGGCCUACCAUGGUGGCAACGGGUAACGGGGAAUUAGGGUUCGAUUCCGGAGAGGGAGCCUGAGAAACGGCUACCACAUCCAAGGAAGGCAGCAGGCGCGCAAAUUACCCAAUCCCGACACGGGGAGGUAGUGACAAUAAAUACUGAUACGGGGCUCUUUUGGGUCUCGUAAUUGGAAUGAGUACAAUCUAAAUCCCUUAACGAGGAACAAUUGGAGGGCAAGUCUGGUGCCCAGCAGCCAA